CAUUUUUCUAUAACUUUGCCUUUGUGUGGUUUUCUCUCUCUCGCUCUGUUUUUUAGGGGAGGAUAAAGCGAUUCAAGUGAGAUUACUUUAUGGUUUCCUUGCCUUUGUGAUCCUCACCAUCUUCCCUAUAAUUCUUCACUGCAAUUCCUGGAAAUCAAAUAGUAAAGGAAAACAGAGGACUUACUUGGAGAUGAAAAUGAGAAAAAAGGAGAAUGAACGUUUCAUCGAGGAGCAAAUCUGAACACAUGCACGUUUUUGUCAUUCGGGACUGAGCUUACAAUUCAGGAAGAGAUGAGGUGUUUCUUGCUCACAUAAUACCAUUACAAUAGCUGUAUUCUUCUUUCAAAAUUAGCCUUUACCUUUGCAGUUGGUUUCUCUUAUUUAUAUAUAUAUAUAUAUAAUUAUUAUUAUUUUUUUAUAUAGACAACUAUAAAACUAUAACUCAGCAGACCAAACCACAUAGCUGGUAGUAAUAACCAUUUACUUUCGUUCUUGCAACACAACACACUUUAAUACCUACAUCAAAUAAAACAAUACAAAUAAUGAUAAUAGAAAUAACAUACAAUAAUGAGCUGCAACUCACCCUGUAGGAAUUACAUUGCCUGUGUUAUGCAUUAUAAAUUAUGCAUGAGAAAUCAACCAAUCACCUUUAAGGAUUUUUCAACAUUCCAGGCCCUUAUCUUGGAUGUCAUGCUGUGCAUCGUUCUAAAAACAAACAACCUUUUUUUUUGUUGUUGAUAGGAGUUCCUGAGGACAAUAUCAUUUCUGUAUUUUCUAGUAAGUUCAUAAGUUGGACAGCAAUCAAUUUAGAAUAUAUUAUUGCUGAAAUCUAAGAAAGCUAUUGUAAUUAUUGUAAAUAGUAUUGUAAGCUAUGAAUUUAAUCUAAAACCACUUCCACAUGUGAUCAGAGUGGUUAAGCUGAUUUUUUCAAUAGCAUUGGCUUUUUAUAUUGAUGCUAUAAAUUGUUUAAGUAUUAUUGUAUUGUUUUCAGUGCAUGUGAGUUCAAUGUAAGUUAAACAUCUACUUAAUGUUUUAUAAAGUUUAUUUUGCUUUUUUACUGCCCAUUGUUAAUGAAUGUGUGAUUACUGUUGACUGCUGUAUCUCUGUAUUUCCCCUUACUGUAUUAUUGCAAAUAAUUAUACAUUUGUAUUGUUUGUGUACCACAAUUAAAAGAUGCCUUUGUAAUCUGUAA